GUUGUUGGGUACAGGGCCCUGGGCCGCUCCCAAAGUCUGGGUGGGACUGGUUUUCCCUACUGGCCGCAAAGAAUGGGGCGUACACGCACCCGGAGAGGGUUACCAAGCCCAGCAAGGGGGCUGCAGGCUGAGCAAGAGCCUCAGUGAUGGCAGAAGGACUUCUUUCUGUGGAAAGACCUCUUUGGACUUUUAGUGUGAGACAAGCUGGGCCCCAGAAGGGUGGACUAACGGUGGUGACCUAGCUGGAGGGCUGAGUUACCAGGCAGAGAAACUGCCAUGGUGCUGGAGCGACCAUUGAGGGGUGACGCUAGCCCAGCGAGAGGGCUGUGAUUCCAUGUCUGGCCAGCAGCGGGGCAUGUAACUCCCAGUAGAUUUGUUUCUGAUUGGCAUAGCCAGGAGGAUUGAAUUCCCCCUGUGAUCCAUGAGGGCUGAUGGAAGUCUUGGAUGCUGAAGGAAGGUCUGUCCUCCCAAGCGGGUGUCUCAAGGGACUGAGCUGGUCACUGGAUUUCCCACUUCAGUUCCCGGGACAAUUUAAACAGCCAAAGCAAAUCUAGGGGUUUCUCCAGCAGCUCCUAGAAAACCAACAGAAGCAGAAGGAAGUAUAGGUGGAGCUACAGACGCAGCAGCAGCAAUAGUUGUGAGAGAUCCUGCAAAGGGAAAUCAACCCAGGGUCUGCUAUGCCCAUGGACAAAAAGAGCAGACACGGAGAGCAUGCCUGGGCUGUGCUGAGAAGGUUAGCCCAGGAGAUCAGGGCAUGAGAAAGUGUAGAAGCGUGGCCUAAUGCCAAGAUGGGGACAAGACCUUGCAGACCCUCCACCCACAAACUCUGUCAGAUGCUGCAGGGAAGUGAAGGACGAAAUGGUUGGCACAGAGAUGAAGCAGACUGAAGUCGGGUCAAACACAAGGGCGGAACAGUCCAUGGUGGGUUCUCAGACCCUGACGGAAAAGGUUUUGGCGUAUGCAGCGGCAGUAGCAAAAAGGCUACAGAAGAAGCUAGUGGCUUCAGAACAGACUCUGCAAGCAGCGGUUAAUGAGAAUGAGUGGUUGCAGGAAGAGCACUGGGGCACUGCGGAAGAGAAGGAUGGCCUCUUUAUUCUGGGGAGCGAGCGGGCAGUGGAGCUGGAGACACUGUGCGUGCAGGCUGUACAAGCACGUAGCCGGUGACAGCGACGAGAUGACGAGGGAUGAAGCUUGGACAAGAAUAGAACUUGCCCCCCGUGUGGGCCAGGUUCUAAGGAGGAGGCCUUUCACACAGAUGUAUCGUGCAGCCAGCGCAGUUCAGGGAGCAGUGAAGACAGGUGAUCUCAUCCUGUCAAACCAAGCAACAUGAGUCUCAUUGAGGCUCAGAUGGAAGAUCCCAUGCACCUCCUGGAGAGGAUGUGUCCAGGAUCCUGGAUAAUGUUUUCUGCAGGAGGAGAGAUCAAUCCGGAUCUGCAGGGUUCAUGGGAACAGCCACACUCCAACCCUCCACCUGGAAGCCUGCUGAAAAUUGCUUACCUAGGACCCAUGAAGUUCAGCCCCAGUUUGAGGCUCCACUCCUGAGGUCCUAUUGGAGGAGUCCCAGAGAAGCUAAUUGGCCCUCUGGCCCUGUGUAAGGAAGCAGCAGGAACAGGAAGCUGACUGGACACCAGGGCUGCUCCCUGUUCUGGACCGUGUGCUGCUUGUUUCUGCUGCCACUCCCCUGGCUUGAUUUUCUGGCAUCUGAUUUGUGGUUGUGAUCACAAAUUUGUCUUUUGCUUCUGAUCUUCCAGUAUCCUGACUCAGAUGACUCUUGACUCCUGUCAUGUGAGUGUGGUAGGUCUGGCUACCCUUGACCCAGCUGUGACAUUGACUUUUGUACAAUAUCUCCAAUGCGCUUUUUUGCUGUCCAGCAAGAUACACCAGUACCUUGGCUCCCAAAGUCCUAAUUGCCUGCUAUUCAAGGGCUGAAGGGUAGUGCUUGUAUUGCCCUCCCAGCUUCUUUUCCUAUGGGAAUCUCCCUAGAGCAGAGGAGAAAUCUGCUCUUCUCUUUGGAUCAGUCCCAGCAAUAAUUCCACC